rnacentral:rRNA from 1 species
UACGGGGGGGGCAAGCGUUGUUCGGAAUUACUGGGCGUAAAGGGCUCGUAGGCGGCCAACUAAGUCGGAUGUGAAAUCCCCAGGCUCAACUUGGGAACUGCAUCCGAUACUGGAUGGCUUGAAUUCGGGAGAGGGAUGCAGAAUUCCAGGUGUAGCGGUGAAAUGCGUAGAUAUCUGGAGGAACACCGGUGGCGAAGGCGGCAUCCUGGACCGACACUGACGCUGAGGAGCGAAAGCCAGGGGAGCAAACGGG